AGUGAACGCUGGCGGUAGGCCUAACACAUGCAAGUCGAACGGCAGCACAGUAAGAGCUUGCUCUUACGGGUGGCGAGUGGCGGACGGGUGAGGAAUACAUCGGAAUCUACUUUUUCGUGGGGGAUAACGUAGGGAAACUUACGCUAAUACCGCAUACGACCUACGGGUGAAAGCAGGGGAUCUUCGGACCUUGCGCGAUUGAAUGAGCCGAUGUCGGAUUAGCUAGUUGGCGGGGUAAAGGCCCACCAAGGCGACGAUCCGUAGCUGGUCUGAGAGGAUGAUCAGCCACACUGGAACUGAGACACGGUCCAGACUCCUACGGGAGGCAGCAGUGGGGAAUAUUGGACAAUGGGCGCAAGCCUGAUCCAGCCAUACCGCGUGGGUGAAGAAGGCCUUCGGGUUGUAAAGCCCUUUUGUUGGGAAAGAAAAGCAGCAGGUUAAUACCCCGCUGUUCUGACGGUACCCAAAGAAUAAGCAUCGACUAACUUCGUG
rnacentral:rRNA from 1 species